CCUACGGGAGGCAGCAGUGAGGAAUAUUGGUCAAUGGGCGCGAGCCUGAACCAGCCAAGUAGCGUGAAGGAUGACUGCCCUACGGGUUGUAAACUUCUUUUAUAAAGGAAUAAAGUGAGGCACGUGUGCCUUUUUGUAUGUACUUUAUGAAUAAGGAUCGGCUAACUCCGUGCCAGCAGCCGCGGUAAUACGGAGGAUCCGAGCGUUAUCCGGAUUUAUUGGGUUUAAAGGGAGCGUAGAUGGGGUGUUAAGUCAGUGGUGAAAGUUUGGGGCUCAACCGUCAAAGUGCAAUUGAUACUGGCAGCCUUGAGUACAGGAGAGGUAGGCGGAAUUCGUGGUGUAGCGGUGAAAUGCUUAGAUAUCACGAAGAACUCCGAUUGCGAAGGCAGCCUACUAAACUGCCACUGACAUUGAUGCUCGAAAGUGUGGGUAUCAAACAGGAUUAGAUACCCGAGUAGUC
rnacentral:rRNA from 1 species